AAAUCUCUUCACCAUUCUCAGAUAUAGGAUCUUGUUCAACUGGCUCCAUGACUUUGCAGAGUUCAUCUUUAUUAUCUUCAUGCAUCUCAUUUGUAAUCUGUAAAGUUUCUUCAAUCAUUUUUCUGGGCACUGGUGAAGUAUCCGCAUUGUUGCCUGAGAUUAAGGCUUGUUCAUUCUUCUCAAUAAAGCAGUCCAUUAUCAAUUCAUGCUUACUGUAAUUUUCAUUCAUUUUAUCUUCUAGGAUAUUGUCAUUCUUUGCUGUUGCAGUUUCUUGGUCAUUGUUCGCAUCAUGGAUUUCAGA
rnacentral:lncRNA from 1 species